AUGUGGUUACUGCAAAUAAAAUCUGCUAUUGCUGAGUGUUUUUUCUUCUUCAUCCUGCAGACUAGCAGCUACUGAAGAGGAUCUGACACAGGAUUGUGCGAAUUAGUUCUCUCAAAUAUGCCGAGAGCUCUGAUUCUGGUUCAACAUACUGAACAACGACUCAAACUGUCAGCAGCGAGCUGAACAAAGAUGUGGACAGACGGCCAGGACUCAGAGGACGUUGCUUCGUGGAGUCACAAAGGAGCACAGUGACUGUUAGAUGCAGACAGCACCUAUCUUUCCUCUUUAUACUGGAACAUAAAACAGUACAAAACAAAUCCUGAUCCUGCGACUAUCACUGGUGGGCGGCAGCAGCAGACAUGGUGCCAGCCCCAUCACUGGAACCGUCUGUUUCUCAGGAAACGAUGGAGGAUCUGAACAAGUUCCCGCCUGGUGUACGUUUCAAAGAGCCUUCUGCAAUAAUACUCACCAUUCACCACAGAGCAUUAAGAAAUCCUUGUGUUGCAAAUAGAGGGUGUUGAAGAGACAGAACAUGUCACAAAUACAGAAAAGAACAGCAUUUAUCAUUUAUAGUAAUCAGGGACCUGCUGCUGAAAGAAACCAAUUUCCAAACAGUAACAUUUUAGGUUUUUUUUUAUUCCUCAUAUUUCUAAAUAUUCUGGGUGUAUUAAACUGGGCGUACAGUUUAUUCACCUAACCUUCACCCCACACUGGUUAUUAUUUAACGCUGCUAUAACAAUGUUAUUUAAAUAUUUCCCUUUUUUCUCUCUUUUUGCAGUGCUCUUAUUUUUUUAAUUCCCCCUGAAACAUUUUCAGCAUUAAAGCCAUAAAAGUCUUUCCAAGGGUUUUAAUCAAAGUCAAGUAGUUUCUUUAUGUGUCAAAAUAUAAAUGUAUAAUUCCAAACACGUGUCUUAUAGGUUAACAUAGGAAACGUCAGAAAGCAAAAAUGGUGAAUUCUGUUUUUUAAUCUUAAUAUUUAACUGAACCUAGUUUUUCUGUGAUUCCUGAAGGAAAAUGGUCAUGCUAUUAUAUGUAAUCCUUACUGUCAAUAAAUUACGCAAUAAUAACAUAACAAAACAAUUUGUAACAAAAAA